rnacentral:rRNA from 1 species
UACAGAGGUCCCAAGCGUUGUUCGGAUUCACUGGGCGUAAAGGGUGCGUAGGCGGUCGGGGUAAGUCUGAUGUGAAAUCUCCAAGCUCAACUUGGAAAUGGCAUCGGAUACUAUUCGGCUCGAGGAAUGGAGGGGAGACUGGAAUACUUGGUGUAGCAGUGAAAUGCGUAGAUAUCAAGUGGAACACCAGUGGCGAAGGCGAGUCUCUGGACAGUUCCUGACACUGAGGCACGAAGGCCAGGGGAGCAAACGGG